UCUGGGCUGUGAAGAUUUUGGUUUGCGUUCUGCUCUCAUUCCUACUCCCACAGCUGGCUUGGGCAGCACAGCCCCACGGUGCAGUGCCAUUCCCAGUGCUGGAGGUGUGGGCAUAUCAGUGGUCCCACCGCUCACACCAAGGCUGAGCUGGGAGCUGGAACCCUGCCUGGAGCAGCUCUCUCCUUCUGCACCACCUGCUGCCCCAGUGCUGCUGUCCUCCCUGACACAGGUCUGCGAUCACAAAGAAAGAGCGUAAAACAGCCUUACCUCGUCAGGCAGUGACCCAGCCGGCUCAGUGCUGCAGGCAGGAGGAAGUGCGCCGGCUGCAGCACCGCACCAGCCUUGUUUACAGCAGCAUGGCAACCUGCGUGACAUCACGGCCUGCCCGAAGGUGGGAUAUCUGCAUGAGCCUCCAUCUGCAGCCCUUUCAUCCUCGCUCAGCUCAUAGACCUGACAAUUUGGAGCCAAAGCCACGCUCUUUGGGCAAAGGAGAGAUGGAGUUGACUGGAACACGUGUUGGUACAUGGAACACAUUGCCCACCUCAAAAAGUGAGCUCUAACAAAAGGAAAAAUUGUAGAAGUGCCCUGCAUGUGUGUGAACAGCUCUACUUGCACAAGAGGCUUGGAACAGCUCAGC